GUGAACGCUGGCGGUAGGCCUAACACCUGCAAGUCGAACGGCAGCACAGUAAGAGCUUGCUCUUCCGGGUGGCGAGUGGCGGACGGGUGAGGAAUACAUCGGAAUCUACUUUUUCGUGGGGGAUAACGUAGGGAAACUUACGCUAAUACCGCAUACGACCUACGGGUGAAAGCAGGGGAUCUUCGGACCUUGCGCGAUUGAAUGAGCCGAUGUCGGAUUAGCUAGUUGGCGGGGUAAAGGCCCACCAAGGCGACGAUCCGUAGCUGGUCUGAGAGGAUGAUCAGCCACACUGGAACUGAGACACGGUCCAGACUCCUACGGGAGGCAGCAGUGGGGAAUAUUGGACAAUGGGCGCAAGCCUGAUCCAGCCAUACCGCGUGGGUGAAGAAGGCCUUCGGGUUGUAAAGCCCUUUUGUUGGGAAAGAAAAGCAGCAGGUUAAUACCCCGCUGUUCUGACGGUACCCAAAGAAUAAGCACCGGCUAACUUCGUG
rnacentral:rRNA from 1 species